rnacentral:lncRNA from 1 species
UCUAAACUCCCGACUCCCUCCUUAGCUGGCGCGCCUUCCCUGACAUCGUCUACAGGGCUGUGAGGUUCCUUUCUGGUGGAAACCAUCACCACGGAAUCCUCACACCCUGACUUGGCCGCGAGCUCUCUUUCCUCGGAACGGGUUAGGGCCUCAGCUAUGCCUUCACCAGCACUAGCCUUAUCUUUGGCCUCAAACGGCACCGCCGCUACAUCGCACCGUUUGUGCGCUACAUCUACAGAUUGACCACUCUACUGC